rnacentral:rRNA from 1 species
CCUACGGGAGGCAGCAGUGGGGAAUAUUGGACAAUGGGGGCAACCCUGAUCCAGCCAUGCCGCGUGUGUGAAGAAGGCCCUCGGGUUGUAAAGCACUUUCAGUGAGGAAGAACGCCUGGUGGUUAAUACCCAUCAGGAAAGACAUCACUCACAGAAGAAGCACCGGCUAACUCCGUGCCGGCAGCCGCGGUAAUACGGAGGGUGCGAGCGUUAAUCGGAAUUACUGGGCGUAAAGCGCGCGUAGGUGGCUUGAUAAGCCGGUUGUGAAAGCCCCGGGCUCAACCUGGGAACGGCAUCCGGAACUGUCAAGCUAGAGUGCAGGAGAGGAAGGUAGAAUUCCCGGUGUAGCGGUGAAAUGCGUAGAGAUCGGGAGGAAUACCAGUGGCGAAGGCGGCCUUCUGGACUGACACUGACACUGAGGUGCGAAAGCGUGGGUAGCAAACAGGAUUAGAUACCCGGGUAGUC